rnacentral:misc_RNA from 1 species
UAAAACCAAUAGCCAUAAUUGCAUUCAUAAUACACAUCCACAACUAAUAUUCUCUGAUUUACAGAUUUCACUAACAAUCACGAUCCAAACUGCAAACCAACAAAAAGAAAAAGACACAACAUAGUGAAGGUAAAUAACAAGAAACACAAAUACACCAAGAAGCUCAGGCUCUGCUCUUGAAUGGGAUUGCUCUGAUGACCACCACGUGAUACAACGCAGCAAGUGCAGCUCCAGUGAAAGGCCCAACCCAGAAGAUCCAAUGAUCAUCCCAAGCAUGCUUCUUGUUGUAGAUGAUAGCCGCCCCUAGACUCCUAGCAGGAUUGAUACCAGUCCCAGUGAUGGGGAUGGUCGCCAAAUGCACCAGAAAAACCGCAAACCCAAUCGGCAACGGAGCCAGAAUCGGGACAUGAGAAUCCCUCGCACUCCUCUUGGCAUCAGUAGCAGAGAAGACGGUGUAGACCAGCACAAAGGUGCCGAUAAUCUCAGCACCCAGCCCGUCACCCUUGGUAUACCCAUGGUUAACGACAUUAGCACCUCCACCGUUAGACUCGUAGAGCGUCUUCUGAUAACCCUUCACGACACCGGCGCCACAGAUGGCUCCAAGACACUGCAUGACCAUAUAGAACACUGCCCUGGUGAGCGACAGUUUCCUCGCCAGGAACAGCCCAAAGGUCACUGCAGGGUUUAUGUGCCCACCUGAAAUGCCGGCAGUGCAGUAGACGAGGGCGAAGAUCAUGCCGCCGAAGGCCCAGGCUAUGCCCUGGAUGCCGACGGUGACGCACUUAUUGGUGCCGGACUUGGAGACGCCCAUGACGGUGAGGACGGUGAUGUAGAGGAAGAGAAAGGUGGCGACGAACUCGGCGAUGCCGGCGCGGUAGAAGGACCAUGAGGCGAGCUCGCCGGGCUCGAAGAGGGGGGCGGGAGGGGGCUCUUUGUAGUCCUUGUCUUGGGUUUGGGCUGAGGUGCCGAUGGGUUGGCGUUCGUUGAACUUGUUGGCUCCGAGCCUCACAUCUUCUUCUUUGCCCUCCAUGGCUGAAGGAAGAAAUUUUUUUUCUAAGAAGAAGAGGGU